GCCCUGGUGGCAAAAUGAUUAAGUGCUAGGCUGGUAAUCAAAAGGUUUGUGGUUCAAACCCACCCAGGGUC
rnacentral:tRNA from 1 species